ACGAACGCUGGCGGCGUGCCUAAUACAUGCACGUAGAACGCACAGUUUAUACCGUAGCUUGCUACACCAUAAACUGUGAGUUGCGAACGGGUGAGUAACGCGUAGGUAACCUGCCUGGUAGCGGGGGAUAACUAUUGGAAACGAUAGCUAAUACCGCAUAAUAUUAAUUAUUGCAUGAUAAUUGAUUGAAAGAUGCAAUUGCAUCACUACCAGAUGGACCUGCGUUGUAUUAGCUAGUAGGUGAGGUAACGGCUCACCUAGGCGACGAUACAUAGCCGACCUGAGAGGGUGAUCGGCCACACUGGGACUGAGACACGGCCCAGACUCCUACGGGAGGCAGCAGUAGGGAAUCUUCGGCAAUGGACGAAAGUCUGACCGAGCAACGCCGCGUGAGUGAAGAAGGUUUUCGGAUCGUAAAGCUCUGUUGUAAGAGAAGAACGGGUGUGAGAGUGGAAAGUUCACACUGUGACGGUAUCUUACCAGAAAGGGACGGCUAACUACGUG
rnacentral:rRNA from 1 species